UAGGGAAUCUUCCACAAUGGACGCAAGUCUGAUGGAGCAACGCCGCGUGAGUGAAGAAGGUUUUCGGAUCGUAAAGCUCUGUUGUUGGUGAAGAAGGAUAGAGGCAGUAACUGGUCUUUAUUUGACGGUAAUCAACCAGAAAGUCACGGCUAACUACGUGCCAGCAGCCGCGGUAAUACGUAGGUGGCAAGCGUUGUCCGGAUUUAUUGAGCGUAAAGCGAGCGCAGGCGGAAUGAUAAGUCGGAUGUGAAAGCACACGGCUCAACCGUGGAACUGCAUCGGAAACUGUCAUUCUUGAGUGCAGAAGAGGAGAGUGGAAUUCAAUGUGUAGCGGUGGAAUGCGUAGAUAUAUGGAAGAACACCAGUGGCGAAGGCGGCUCUCUGGUCUGCAACUGACGCUGAGGCUCGAAAGCAUGGGUAGCGAACAGG
rnacentral:rRNA from 1 species